rnacentral:lncRNA from 1 species
CCGUAAUGUCCUAUUAUCUUGGACAUCAACGAGUAGAGUUACUUACAGCCUUUCGUUGAAAUUUUAUGAGACAUUUAUUGCAAAAGCAAUGUUGACAACUUUAUUUCUGCUUGAGAUAUUUGCAUUUGUCGUGUUUUCCUGUCCCCCUGGUUGGGAGAAUAACCAAGGGCAAUGCUAUCAGUUCAACACCAACACCCGGCUUACCUGGUUGGAUGCAGCUGCGAAGUGCGCUGAAACUGGUUCACACCUUGUUUACAUUGACUCAAGCGAGGAGGAUAGAUUCAUAGUAAACAAACUCAAGCCUUUGGUUGAUGAA